ACCAAGUUGGACGUUGCACCACAGGCCAUUCUUUGGCUUAUAAAAGCCAGAGGAAGACGAGAGGAGAAAAAGGGAGAGAGAAGAGAGGCUACAGUAAAAAAAAAAGGGAGUGAGACAGCUUAUGAGAACGUAAGAAAAGUGAGAGAGUGGAGAAAUAGUGAGCAAGCAUAAGGGAGAGAAGAGGAAGGAGAGGAAGAAGCAAACCGAACGGAAGCAGAGGACCCGGUGAAGCAGAGAAUACAGCACCACCAUCGUCUUCGUCUUCUCAAAACCAGGUUUCCAACAAAAUAAGAAUCGGCGCAUUUGGACUUCUAGAACUCGAGAUAUGGGUUGAACACUGAACAGUGUCUGGGCUGCAGGACAGAUUCCGACUUCUCCGUUAUUGCUACCAUUUGAACUCAAAAAUAGCACUUUUAAAUCUUGGACUCUAUGAAAGUUUUAGGCUUAUGUAUUAGCUUUCCAUACAUAUAAACCAGACCUAAAUCCAAGUUUUACAGCUCCAGUUAUGAUCCAAUAACCGAAUGGUGUUCCAGUUUGGACUCAACAAGCAUCUUUUUUCUAAGCUUAGCCCUCUCUUUGUCUUCUCAAUUUCAGUAGUUAAACUCAUCAAUCAAUCUUUUGAUUUAUGUGAUAGGCCUGUAUUUAAAAUGAACAUUUACUAUAAAUUAAAGGUAUCUUAUAUUAUCAGACUUGUUAUUAUAAAACAUGCUCUAGUUAAGGAGUUAUUGAUACUUCAAGUGUAAAAUAAUGAUAUAAAAUCUUGAUAAAAAUACACUUUUAAGUACUAAUCAGUUAACCUAUUAGGUAAAAAUAAUAAUUAUAUUUGACUUUGUCUACAUAAAAACAGUGCAAAAUAAAAAUUAACCCAAACCAUGCUUUGAUUAACCGAGGCACCAGUUUAACUUUUCAGACAAUUUAUGUUUAAUAAUUAUGGUAAAAUGAUGGCACCGCCAAGUAGUGGGUUGUUGUUAAAUUGUAAUUUUUUUAAACAAUGGCUAAAUGGUCAAUGUCUCAUUGUUCAUGCGGUGUUGACUUUGUUUUGGGCAUUAAUUCAGAAAAUUUAGUAAUGGAGAUGGACCAAGUGCCAGUUUUUGCAAUUGAUUGAGAUGUGUUUUUCAAUUUGCAUGCAGCGAGAAAAAGUAUCCAAUCGAUUAUAUUAUUUAAUUUUUUAUAAUAAUUUUAAUGUAGUGAUGUAAAAAAAAUAUUAUUUUAAUAUAUUUUUAAUUAAAAAUUACUUUUAAAAAACACUCUAUACCAUAAUACCAAACAUACACUAAACACUCUUUCCACAAAAUCCUACACCAUUUUUCUAGAGACGGCUAUUAUUAGUAGUACUAUGAAUAGGAUUUCUCUUAUGUGCUCCUUUUGCUGUAGAUAAGAGAUUACAGAGAUGUUGAAAUUAGUAAUUACUUUGUUUUGAAAUUGGAUAAAAUAUCCAAUAGCCGGAUAUUCAUGAACUAUAAUGGUGUGACAAAUUUAAAAUUUUAUAACAUGUUUUUAAAAGCACAUUUUAUGAAUUCAUACAGUGGUCUUUUGGUUUCUGUCUGAAGGAUACGAUUCAAUUAUUAACAUUUGCUCUGAAUUGUGUUUGUUUAUACCCUCAUGAAAGAUGGUACAAUUAACUUGAUUUAUUCUUUGAUCUGCACCAAACCUAUAGAAUUCGAAAUAUUGAGAGUUGAUAUUUGGUGUCCGGUUCAUCUCCAUCGAUAUAUGUUCACAUCAGAUAGGAAUCAAGGCCGGUUCAUGCAGUUUAUAAGUUUUGGGCACAUCCUUUCUCGAAAGGAAAUGCAUUUUAUUGAUAUAUAAUUCAAUCUAUUAUUUGAUAAUUAACAAGUUGCCGAUAGCUUUAGAUAUA